AUUGAACGCUGGCGGCAGGCCUAACACAUGCAAGUCGAGCGGAUGAAGGGAGCUUGCUCCUGGAUUCAGCGGCGGACGGGUGAGUAAUGCCCAGGAAUCUGCCUGGUAGUGGGGGAUAACGUCCGGAAACGGGCGCUAAUACCGCAUACGUCCUGAGGGAGAAAGUGGGGGAUCUUCGGACCUCACGCUAUCAGAUGAGCCUAGGUCGGAUUAGCUAGUUGGUGGGGUAAAGGCCUACCAAGGCGACGAUCCGUAACUGGUCUGAGAGGAUGAUCAGUCACACUGGAACUGAGACACGGUCCAGGCUCCUACGGGAGGCAGCAGUGGGGAAUAUUGGACAAUGGGCGAAAGCCUGAUCCAGCCAUGCCGCGUGUGUGAAGAAGGUCUUCGGAUUGUAAAGCACUUUAAGUUGGGAGGAAGGGCAGUAAGUUAAUACCUUGCUGUUUUGACGUUACCAACAGAAUAAGCACCGGCUAACUUCGUG
rnacentral:rRNA from 1 species